CAGGUCUAUAGUAUAAUCAAUGCGUGGGUCUUCAAAGCCCAAGAUGCUCGGUGCAGCUGGACCUGU
rnacentral:tRNA from 1 species